GCGUCAGUAACGUCCCAGCGAGCUGCCUUCGCAAUUGGUGUUCCUCCUGAUAUCUGCGCAUUUCACCGCUACACCAGGAAUUCCACUCGCCUCUUCCGCACUCAAGCCCGACAGUAUCCACCGGCAUCCGAGGGUUGAGCCCCCGACUUUCACAGCGGACUUACCGGACCGCCUACGCGCGCUUUACGCCCAAUGAUUCCGGACAACGCUUGCCCCCUACGUAUUACCGCGGCUGCUGGCACGUAGUUAGCCGGGGCUUCUUAUGAAGGUACCGUCACUCCAGCAGGCUAUUAACCCGCGAAGCUUCGUCCCAACUGAAAGGGGUUUACAACCCGAAGGCCUUCUUCCCCCACGCGGCGUUGCUGCGUCACGCUUUCGCGCAUUGCGCAAGAUUCCCCACUGCUGCCUCCCGUAGGAGUCUGGGCCGUGUCUCAGUCCCAGUGUGGCUGAUCGUCCUCUCAGACCAGCUACCCAUCGUCGCCUUGGUAGGCCGUUACCCCACCAACAAGCUAAUGGGCCGCGGGCCCGUCCCGAUGCGAAGGCCGAAGCUAUCUUUAGUCGUUGCCCUCAUGAACAACGACCACAUCCGGUAUUAGCCCGAGUUUCCUCGGGUUGUCCCGGUCAUCGGG
rnacentral:rRNA from 1 species